rnacentral:rRNA from 1 species
UGCUGGAAUGCUUUAUGCGUCAAAUGGAUUCGUCUGCCCAAGGAUGGGUCUGCGGCCUAUCAGGUAGUAGUGGGUGUAAUGUACCUACUAGCCGACAACGGGUACGGGUUGUGAGAGCAAGAGCCCGGAGAUGGAUUCUGAGACAUGAAUCCAGGCCCUACGGGGCGCAGCAGGCGCGAAAACUUUACAAUGCGGGAAACCGUGAUAAGGGGACACCGAGUGUCAGCAUCAUAUGCUGGCUGUCCAGGUGUGUAAAAUACACCUGUUAGCAAGGGCCGGGCAAGACCGGUGCCAGCCGCCGCGGUAACACCGGCGGCCCGAGUGGUGAUCGUGAUUAUUGGGUCUAAAGGGUCCGUAGCCGGUUUGGUCAGUCCUCCGGGAAAUCUGAUAGCUCAACUAUUAGGCUAUCGGGGGAUACUACCAGACUUGGAACCGGGAGAGGUAAGAGGUACUACAGGGGUAGGAGUGAAAUCUUGUAAUCCCUGUGGGACCACCUGUGGCGAAGGCGUCUUACCAGAACGGGUUCGACGGUGAGGGACGAAAGCUGGGGGCACGAACCGGAUUAGAUACCCGGGUAGUCCCAGCCGUAAACGAUGCUCGCUAGGUGUCAGGCAUGGCGCGACCGUGUCUGGUGCCGCAGGGAAGCCGUGAAGCGAGCCACCUGGGAAGUACGGCCGCAAGGCUGAAACUUAAAGGAAUUGGCGGGGGAGCACAACAACGGGUGGAGCCUGCGGUUUAAUUGGACUCAACGCCGGACAACUCACCGGGGGCGACAGCAAUAUGUAGGCCAAGCUGAAGACUUUGCCUGAAUCGCUGAGAGGAGGUGCAUGGCCGUCGCCAGUUCGUACUGUGAAGCAUCCUGUUAAGUCAGGCAACGAGCGAGACCCGUGCCCACUGUUACCAGCAUAUUCUCCGGAAUGAUGGGUACUCUGUGGGGACCGCCUAUGUUAAAUAGGAGGAAGGUGCGGGCCACGGUAGGUCAGUAUGCCCCGAAUCUCCCGGGCUACACGCGGGCUACAAUGGAUGGGACAAUGGGUCCCUCCCCCGAAAGGGGCUGGUAAUCUCACAAACCCAUUCGUAGUUCGGAUCGAGGGCUGUAACUCGCCCUCGUGAAGCUGGAAUCCGUAGUAAUCGC